rnacentral:rRNA from 1 species
CCAAUAGCGUAUAUUAAAGUUGUUGCAGUUAAAAAGCUCGUAGUUGAAUUUCGGGAUCAAUACGUCGGUCGUGCUCAGGUACGUACUGGCGUCAUUGAUUUCUCCCUUCUGACGAACCAUGAUGUCAUUAAUUUGGUGUUAUGGGAAAUCAGGACUGUUACUUUGAAAAAAUUAGAGUGUUUAAAGCAGGCUCACGCUUGAAUACAUUAGCAUGGAAUAAUGAAAUAGGACGUUCGAUCCUAUUUUGUUGGUUUUAGGAUCAACGUAAUGAUUAAUAGGGAUAGUUGGGGGCAUUAGUAUUCAAUUGUCAGAGGUGAAAUUCUUGGAUUUAUUGAAGACUAACUACUGCGAAAGCAUUUGCCAAGGAUGUUUUCAUUAAUCAAGAACGAAAGUUAGGGGAUCGAAGACGAUCAGAUACCGUCGUAGUCUUAACCAUAAACUAUGCCGACUAGGGAUCGGAUGAUGUUAAUUUUUUAAUGACUCAUUCGGCGCCUUACG